rnacentral:lncRNA from 1 species
UUAGAAACAUUUAAUAAUUAUUCUAAUUUUAGAAAAUAAAUUACAGCAACAACAAAAUCAUUAAAAACUACUUAAUUGAUGUAAACAUAAGAAACAGUUUUUACUAUAUAAAGUGAUUAAACCAAUUUAAAUUUGUUACAAUUAAAGGUAAAAAAUGGCUCAAACUCUCAAAUUUGCUUAUACUGUGAUCCUUUUUGUUUCCCUUUAUGUCGUUGUAGUCUUUGGCUCAAGCUAUAGUAAGCUCAUUCUCAUAUUAUAUUUUUUUAUUUUAUACACAAUCAUUCAUUUAUUUUAGUAAUAUUUCCUUAUUUUUAAUGUACAUUACAGAGUGUGAUACUGAUGAAGAUUGCUAUAAAUUAUUCCCAGAUAUAAUUAUUCCAGGAAUAAUGAAGUGUUGGGAUGGUCUUUGUGGCUUAAAAAUAUUGUAAGUGUUAUUUCUCUAUUAUUACCUCCUAGUUUUUUGCUCAUCAUAAUAUUUCACUCUUAUAAUUUCUCUUAUACUUUCAUAUCUUUCUCCGAUUUCGUAAAUCAUGUUAAACAUUUUUUUUAAUGGAAUAUAUAUAUAAUAUUAAUAAACGAUUACAAGGUGUAAUCGAAUGAAGAAGCAUAAUUAAUAUAUUAUGAAAUCUUUGUU